GCGGAGGAAAAGAAACCAACAGGGAAUGCCCUAGUAACGGCGAGUGAAGCGGCAACAGCUCAAAUUUGAAAUCUGGCUCUUUUAGAGUCCGAGUUGUAAUUUGCAGAGGGCGCUUUUGGCGUUGGCAGCGGUCCAAGUUCCUGGAACAGGACGUCACAGAGGGUGAGAAUCCCGUACGUGGUCGCUAACCUUCGCCGUGUAAAGCCCCUUCGACGAGUCGAGUUGUUUGGGAAUGCAGCUCUAAAUGGGAGGUAAAUUUCUUCUAAAAGCUAAAUACUGGCCAGAGACCGAUAGCGCACAAGUAGAGUGAUCGAAAGAUGAAAAGCACUUUGGAAAGAGAGUCAAAUAGCACGUGAAAUUGUUGAAAGGGAAGCGCUUGCAGCCAGACUUGCCUGUAGUUGCUCAUCCGGGCUUUUGCCCGGUGCACUCUUCUGCGGGCAGGCCAGCAUCAGUUUGGGCGGUUGGAUAAAGGUCUCUGUCAUGUACCUCUCUUCGGGGAGGCCUCAUAGGGGAGACGUCAUGCAACCAGCCUGGACUGAGGUCCGCGCAUCUGCUAGGAUGCUGGCGUAAUGGCUGUAAGCGGCCCGUCUUGAAACACGGACCAAGGAGUCUAACAUCUAUGCGAGUGUUUGGGUGUCAAGCCCGAGCGCGUAAUGAAAGUGAACGGAGGUGGGAACCCUUUAGGGUGCACCAUCGACCGAUCCUGAUGUCUUCGGAUGGAUUUGAGUAAGAGCAUGGCUGUUGGGACCCGAAAGAUGGUGAACUAUGCUUGAAUAGGGUGAAGCCAGAGGAAACUCUGGUGGAGGCUCGCAGCGGUCUGACGUGCAAUCGAUCGCCAAUUUGGCAUAGGGCGAAGACUAAUCGACUACUAGUACUGGUCUGC
rnacentral:sRNA from 1 species